rnacentral:siRNA from 1 species
AGCAGGUUUCUGCAAUGGGUGUUG